rnacentral:lncRNA from 1 species
CAACUAUUGAAAUUCAUGAGAAUUUGGCAUGACUAAGCACUAAAUCUGAGUUUAUGGCGCCACAAUGUGUGAUGUGGAGAGUUUAUGCAAGAAGCUGGUAGACUUUCAAAGAGCCAACAUAGAAUUGAAGGAAGAAAAUUCGAAGGAGAUUGAAGAAAAUAGAUAUCUGUCAAAAAAAUUAUCAGAUGUGAAGGAGGAGAAGUGCAUGUUGGAAGAGGAAAACAAUGCUAUUCUCCAUGAAACUGUUGCCCUCAGUAACCUGUCUUUGGUUUUGAACAACUUCUGGUCUGAGAAGGUAGGGGAACUAAAAGCACUUGCUGAAGAUUUUGGCAAUCUCCAUGGGGUUAAUAGUGACCUUGGGGAGGAGGUGGGAAUUUUGACAGAGAAAUUGGGAUUGCAAGAAACUGAAAAUUUACAUCUGAAAGGGCUUGUUGAGAAGUUGGACAAGGAGCUACAUGAAGUUACAAAUUUAAGUGAUCAGUUGAACAAUCAACUUUUAGUUGGAAAAGAUUUGCUAAGCCAGAAGGAAAAGGAUCUUUCAGAAGCAAAACAGAAGCUCAAAGCUGCACAGGAUUUGACUGCAGAAUUAUUUGGCACUGUUGAGGAAUUGAAGAGGGAAUGUGAAAAAUCAGAAGUUCUAAGAGAAAAUUCAGAGAAGCAGAUUCUUGAACUAUCUGAAGAAAACACAAGUCAAAACAGGGAAAUUGAAUGUCUUCGCAAGAUGAAUGGGAACUUGGAGUCUGAAUUGGAUAUGUUACAUGAAGAAAUUGAAGAAUAUAGAAUCAGAGGAGAGAAGUUGAAUUCAGAGCUUCAUGAAAGAAGCAAUGACUUUGAACUAUGGGAGGCUGAAGCUACAACAUUCUACUUUGAUCUUCAGGCUUCCUCUGUCCGUGAAGUUCUGUUUGAAAAUAAGGUGCAUGAGCUUACUGGAGUGUGUGAGAAUCUUGAGGAUGAAAGUGCUUCAAAAAGUAUCAAGAUUCAACAGAUGAGAGAAAGGGUUAGCUUCUUGGAAAGUGAAAUUGGAGGACUGAAAGCUUUAAGAUUUCAUCAUACCAAAAGGCUGUCAAGGGAAAACCAAACAAAAUACCGAACUUCAUAUCAAGCACAGAAUGAGGAUCAUACCACCCAACAACAAGGAGCAACAGAUGAGAAAAGAACCGUUGUCUCCAAUCUGAGCCUUACGAAGAACAAUAUAUUUUUUUUAAACAAAAAGGUUGAGCAACUUCACUUUUACUAAACUUCUAUGAGGAAUCUAUCUUGAAAAAUCAUAUAUAUUAAGGAUUUUUUUUAUUUUUAAUGGGAAUACAAAAAUAUUAUUAACAAUGGCUAACAAAAAGCACACCAAAGUAGGUAAAUCGUAUACAAAGGGCACCAUCCCUAAGUAAAAUGAAGGGAGAGAGAGAAAAAACUACCUCCCCUAAUUAAUACCUUAACACUAAGGAAAUUUUAGGACAAAAAUGGUUUCAGACUUGUUUGGGAAACAUUGAUUUACCAAUGGUACUGAACUAAAAAAAGGUUUAGCAUAGAAACACUCUUACAUGUGGAUGACUGAUGACAGCAACUCACACAUGGAAUCCAUGGAGAACCUAAAGUAAAUCAACCCACAAUUAUUUCCCAAUUAAUCACACCCCUACUAAAGCAACAGGUUUAAGACUAUAAACUAGAAAACGGGUGAAAUAUUGGAGGAAAAGAGCAUUUUAUAAGCAGAAUUGGGAACUAAAUAGAGGAAAAUUUUAAAAUGCUCCUCCCUACAUCACCAAUCUAUCUGAAACUACACAUACUCUCUCUUCCCCCUCUACAAACACUGAUCUUAAAUCUAAAAGUGCAAACAUAGCCCCAAUUUGCCUUACAAUAAUCCAACCCACAAGACCAAAGAAACAUAUCAAUAAGUCCUAUAUUACACUGACAUACAUGACAAUUGACAAAAUGAACCUUUCCCAAAGAAUCCUGGAAUGAAACUAAAUCUCCAAAAUUAUUUUGCUAAAAAAAAUUCCUUCUUAUAAUAAAUUAAGUAAACAGAUAUAAGAAGUUGCUUUUGUAUAAUGGUUCGACCAAACCAAAUUGUUGAAUUAGCCUAGUUUUACAGAGGAAUUUGUCUCUUUAGGCUCCAAAUAUUAAAAAUCCGAGAUUCAAAAUUUCCUUUUCCACAGCUUAUCAAAGCAAAAAAAGAAGGUAUAUGCAUUCUUUUUCCUCAAUUUCUCAACAACCAAAGAAAAAAGAAUCAAGAUUACAAGCGCUUCAAAUCUUGGAGUGAGAUGACUCAAACAAUGAAUUGAAAUUGUGGCACAGUCUUGGAAGUCGAGCUAAGAAUUUCAAUGAAUAACUACAUAUUUGGUAUUUAGGGAUACUUACGUACUUCGUUAUUCUGCUGUUAAUAUGAAACCCUAGAAAAAUUUCACGAUAAGAUCCAUUUCUCAAUAUGAAGGGAGUGGAAGCAUUUGACGAUAAGAUCUGCUUAGCCCCUAUUAAGAUUCACAAGAAACGGAUUCAAAACCCUAAAUAGCAACCCGAAAACUAAUAGAAAAAAAAAAUCCUUCAAUAAUCUGAAACUGGAAAUGGAAAAAUCCUAAAUCUCGUAUCUCAUUCCCGAAUUAGAAACGGAAUACAACACCAAAUCAAGGCAUCAUUCAACCAAAAAAUCAACAAAAAAUCUUACCGGUUUGUAGAUAUGUGAAGAUAAUAGUUGUGAUUCUUGAUUUCUUGUGAAUAUGGGAUAAACAAGGAUGAAUCGAGAGGAAAUGGAUUUUCAAAUGGAUUAUCUGAUGGAUUUCUCCAUUGAGUGGGAGGAAAAACCCUAGUGUCGAUAGGAACGAGAACUGAGAGAAGAAGACCUAAAAUGAGGAGAGAAAGCUAAUAUUUAUAAGUGGGGGGUAAAGUAGUAAUUUCAUAUUCGGGGCGGGGCGGGGCGGGGCGGGUCAAAUUAUAACUACACCUGACCCCGCCCCGAACCCGAUUCGGGUUUUAAAAAAAAGUCCUGAACCCGGCCCAUCCCCGAUUGCCAUGUUCCUAUACCCGUCCCAAUAGGGGUGGGUCGAGGCGGGUGACCUGGGAAACCCGCGAAAUUGCCAUUCCUAAUUGUAAUUAUAGCUUUGCAAGUAUCACUUUCUUUUGAAGCAUGUCUCCAAACAUUGAGACUCUCUCACAGGAUAUGGGAUACCUGUCCAGAUCCUUGAGUCUAAGAUUGUGAGCAUCCAUUUUAUGAUUCUGAGGAGAAGAAUCUAAGGGCCUGUUUGGUUGCUGUUUUUGAAAACUGUUCUGGAAAACAAUUUUUGAGAACAGUUUUUAAGAACAGUUUUUGGUGUUUUUUUAAAAAAAAUUGUGUUUGGGAACUGAAUUUUGAAAAACAGUUUUUGUUCUCAAAAACAAAAAAACAUGUUUGGUUGAGUUAAUAAAAAAAAAAUUUAGAACAAAUAAAACAAAAAACAUGUUUGAAAGAUUUUUUUUUUCUUUUCUAAUUAAUAAAAUAUUUUCUUCAAGUAAUUUUAUAUUAUAAAUUUAUAAAUAAUUUUUAGAUAUAUAGUUCAUUUAAAUUAAAAAAAUUAUUUAUUUUAUUAAUUUAAAAAUAAAAAUAUUUUUUAUAUUUUUUUAAAAUAAAUCAAACAUAAUAAAAUUAUUUUUAUUAAUAUUUUUUUAUUUAAUCUUUAACUUUAUUAAAAAUUAUAGCAUAUUUUAUUAAGUUGAGAUAAAAUUGUUCUCAUGAUGUUAAUUUUUUUUUAUCUCUACUAAAUCUAAAAUUCAAAAUGCCACCCACUUUUCCACCCACUUCUCUCAUCGGGCAUCAAGAAGCCAUUUUCUAAGUUGCCCUCCAGCCGAGAGAAUCCGUAAAAGGCCCUAUUUUCCUCUGCCACUCUCAAUCCUCACAGGUACUAAUCUAAUCAUGUUAUUAUUAUUAUUUUUUUUUUUGCAACCCCCGUUUGAUUCCCAAGAAAAUCCAUCCCCCAUUCGAUUUCAGGGAAAAUUCAUCCUCGUUUGAUUUCCGAGAAAAUCCAAGCAAAAACCCCAAGGAAAACAAAAAAAAAUGGAUUUUCUUUUGCUCCCUGCGUUUUCUGGAUUCGUUUUAGGGGUCUCUUUGCUAUUGUGCGAUUGGAUUUAAAUUUCACGAACCUUGAAUCAAAACUGAGAAACAAGAAGAGGCGAGCCACUGUGCUGGAGAAGUGAUGAAAACGGGAAGAAAAAAAAAACACGGGAAACAGAUUGUUUUUUUUUUGUUUAAUUUUGUUCUGUGAACAGUAAAAAAACGGGGAAAACAAGAUUUUGUUGUUCUCUAAACAAUGUCAUUUUGAGAACACGGGAAACAACAAAAACAAAAAUCACUCUCUCAACCAAACGAGUUUUUGGUGUUUUUUGUUUUCAAGAACAGAAAACAGUUCUUGAAAACACUAAACAAACAGGUUCUGUUUGGAAAGUGUUUUCAAAAACAAUUUUUGAAAACAUUUUUUUAGAGCAAUUUUUAAAAACUAUUUUACGAUGUUUUGUAGAAUAAAAGUAUAUUUAGGAACCUGAAAUGUUUUCAACCUUGUUUCUAUGUUUUUAAAUGUUUUAAAAAUAACUUUUAUAUGUAGUGCUUUAUUUUUAAUCAUUCUCUAUAUUUGUAUAAUUAUUUUUUAAAAUUAACUCUUAGAAAACAAGUGAAAAUAACUAGAAGAUAUUUUCUGAAAAUACUGUUUUCUGUUUUAAAGAAAUGAAAAUUGUUUUUUGUUUUAUAAUUGUCAAGCGAGAUUUCUUGUUUUUCUGUUUUGGAGGAUAGAAAAAUGUUUUAAAAAACUUUGCCUUCAACUCUAUGAUCUUGAUCCUCUAUGAGUCUCUCAAAAUGAAUUCUUGAUCCUCUAUGAUCUUCCUUUGCCAGGAGAUACUUUUUCUCUUUCUUCAUUGCCAGUCUCAUAAAAUAGCCUUGAGUUGUAAGUCCCUUUACGUGUUUCAUUCUAAACCGUUGCCUUCAACUCACUGCUUCCUUAUUGGCCACAAACUCAGCUUUCCCAUUUGCCCAAAGGCUUCAAAUGUUAGCCCAUCCCUUCAGCUUAAUCAAAAUUAAGAAGUUGAGAAGGUUAACAUGCUGGUUCACAAGAAAACUUCUCCUGUGGUAGCAAUGAUUUAGUAGCAUCAAGAUAAUCAUUAUCUUUGAGAAUCGAGGCUUUCUGUUCAUGAAGAUCACCAAAAACCCUUUUAUUCCACUCUAAAUUUACCUUCAGUGAUGGUUUUACUGUCUCGAUGCAUUAUGAUUGUCCUCCUGAAUUGAAUUACUGAAGUGAAGGACGUAGUUGAAUAUGUUUGUCAUCUGGGCCCGAUCAUCCUCACUGCUGAGAAAGAUGGAAACUCUUGAUCCCCCUUCUAUGGCAAAGAAUUAAACCUUUUAGUUUUAGGUUUAAUGCUACCCAACACAUAGUGCUCCACCUUAUCAUCCAGGUAGGCAAAUUUUGGUUCUGAAAAUCGUUCCAAACCAUGGUUUCAUAAGUAUGGUUAAGUUACUUUUUCACUCUCCUGUCAUCUGGAUAAGUGGCAUCCACCUGCUGGAAUAGGGCCCUGUGGUUUGUCUGUUGUACACAUCGCCAUUUGACUAACAUCUUUACCCUUUAUCCACUAUGUAAAAGCCAUAGGAACCAUCUGUUUUUCCCCUUAGGCUUAGUGCUAAUCUUACCAGCUUUGAAGCAAACUCCCUAACAAAUUUUGCACAACUUAAUAAAAGAUGUUAAUAAGAACUGAACUUCAUAUGCUCAUUGUAAAUGACCAAGGUGUUAAAUGAUCUUCAGAUUCUCCAUUUAGACACUACACUUGUUGAGAAUAAUCUGGAAAGAUCAUUAUUCUAGACUGUUUGAUAAUAUGGAAAUUUUCAAAUUGUCUCUUCAUUUUGAUAAAUGAGUAAUUAACUAUCACAGUUCUUUUAAAAUGUUCUCAACACUUUUAAUAUGCAGAAAGCAGUUGAGGGAUGUUUUCAACAGUAUGGUACUGCAUGGAACUAUUAUGCAGAUACUAGACCUGUUCAUUAGCACAGGGAAACCCCAUAAUUUGGUGGACUACUUGAUGCCAGAUGACACCAAAUCCUACAAACCGGCAUCACCCUCCAAUGGUGACAGCUCAACUCCUGCAGAUGUCACCAAAUUUGACCAACUUAUGGUGGAGACACGUGCUGUGUUAUCAAGGUAUGUCAAUUAGGUUCCAGAUAACACUUUUAAGUAGUAUUGUAGAGUUUUAUAAAGGUAUGUCAAGGUAUGGCAUCAUAUGCAUGACUCCAUUGAAUGCUAGUGCAAAUCUAAGUAUUGCUCUUAGCACAUUGGUCAAGCCACAACCAUCCAUGCAGACCCCAUAGCCACAUCCUGGAAAGAAGUGCAAUGCAGGCAGUAGUGGGGUCAUGUUCUCAAAUAACAAUCCCAAGUCUCUAUCUACUGUUCUAGGUUCUGGUACAUUUGUAAGAAUGACUGAUAUAAUGCCAGGUUGCAUCAAUUUUUGAAGGGAAGAAAGUGAAUAUAGAGUCCAACUGAAUAUCUCUCUGUUUGCCUACAAAACUUCCCAGUUUGAAUUUGUACAAGUGCGGUGUCUAGUUGAAGCUAUUAAAAUUGAAAUGAUAAAAUAUCAACUGCUAGCCUAUGUAGGAGCCUAAAAUUUUGGCUUCAAAUCAUUUGUACAAGUUCAGUUGAUGUCAUAAUUACUUGUCAUACAGUCCAAACAUCCCCGAAAGGUUCAGGGUGCUGAUCGAAGAUCUAGACAUUAUCAGGCCAAGACCUAUUUUUCUGAUAUUCUUUUGAAUUGUUUGCCGGUAUUUUUCCCUUGCAGUGCUGAAUUCAUAAAUGUUAUCGACGUAUCACUGAGAACGGUGGUGGAUGCAGUGGUGGAGGACAUGAUGGGGGUUCAGCUGGGAGGAGGCAGUCCAUCAUCAGGGAUGGUGCUGGCCAAACUUCUGCCACGAGUUGCCCAGAUGGGUCCUUUGCUGUUGGAAGAACCCUCCAAAAACAGGUUCAUCCAAAUUAUCCAAAAGGCACCAGAAGUUGAAUUCUUUUUCACACUUCUGUAUGCAAACAUGCCGACCUUAUGAUUGGAAAGAAUGGGUUGUAUUUUUAUGAGACAUUUAAACUUCCAUGGAAGGGAGGCCAUGAAUGUAAAGAAUCUCAAGGUGCUUGGCUUGGCCUGUCCUUGUCCAAAGUUGAAUCACUUUGGAAACAAUAAGAGAGAAUUUAUUUGAAGAUCACUACUGCAUCCAUUUGUAAUUCUUUUCAGUUCAAUAUUUUGUUGAUUAUUGUGAUGUCAAACAUUCCUCAACUAUAUUGCUUAAACCCCCAAUAAAAUGAAGCUUUACUGUUAGAGGGUUUUUACUAUGAUUAUUUGCUUUAUGAGUAUUGUUAUGAAAUAAUCAAGUCACAGACAUUGUCAUCAGUGCCUCCAAGACGGCCCAGAGAAAGGAUGACAAAUUUUUGCUUAUUCAGAACUUAAUUUAUUAUCCAUAUCUUUGUAUGAUUUUGGUAAAAGAAUAUAUUGGGGAUUAAGAUUCCAUUUUAAAGGAAUUUUAGGAAACACUUUUUGAGUUUUAAUAUUAAGAGCUCAUUUGUUAGUGAUUUUAGAAAGUAUUUUCAAUAUUUAUAAUAUUUAAAAAAAUUUAUUAUUUAAGUGUUAAAAAUGUUCAAAAUAUUUUUUAAAAUCACACUAAUUAGUUUUGGAGUGUAGCACUGGAAUUGAUUGGGGCAAAGCUGAGAAGGUGCUGAAGGGGUGGAAUAGUCUGGGGCACAACAUAGGCUAUUAUGGUGAUCAACUCAUGAUGUUCUCGUGUUUGUGGAUGGUAAGCAAUCCAGUCCAACGGUUCUCACUUCAUCAUGGGUUUAAGAAAAAUAAAAUUGAUGAAAUUCGUAUUUGUUUUUCUAAAACUUAUUUUUAAAAGUUGUUUUUAAGAUGAAUGAAGAAAAUCGAUUCUAGGUUGUUUUAUGAAAAUAAAGGUGAUUGACAAGUUAUUUUUAAAAACCAAAAAUAAAAAAUUAUUUAAAUAAAGAAGUGAUGUUGUUUUUAAAGUUAUUUUUUUAUUUGUAAAAAUUUUAUAAAUUAAAUUUAUAUUAAUAUGAAAUUGAAUAUAAAUUAAGUCUUACCAAAAUAAAAAAUUUCAAUUAUAUGUGAAUUAAAUAUGAAUAAUUCUUAAUCGUUUUAAUCAUUAAAUGAUUUUUUAUUCUAAUGAAACAAAAAGUUCUUAUCGACUAAAUAUAACAUCGAUUUGGUUCACUUACAAAUGAGAUUAUAAAGAAAAUAACAAAUUACCACUAUUAAUUAUUGUAUAUUUAGUUGUCAAAUGUCAUUAUUUUAAAAAUUGGAAAAUGUUACCUGUUUUGAGCAUACCAAAAUAAUGCUCAAUUAUAUUUCUAGAUGAAAAAAUAUUAUACUUGAAUAAUGCUUUAUAAGUUCAUAAUUCACGACUUUUAUCACUAUUAGCUUGCAAAUAAAACCUUUAACCUCAACUAUGGUAGAAAGACAACUCAUAGUAUACAUAUACACCUAUUAAUAUAAUAUAGCAAAAAUAAAAUAAUGAUUAUAUAAAUAAUAUAUAACUAACUUGUUUUUCAAUAGGAACCGAUAUGUUUAUAUGUAUGUCAUUAAUUGAAUCAAUACAUUUAUGUUGACAACAAAGAACACGAUGACUUUAAAUUUUAAAGUACUUAAAAUAUUUUAAAAUUUAUAUCAUAUACAAAGUUUUGUCUAAAACCAUGAAUAAUCCUUUGAUUGUUAACAACAUGAGAAGACAAUAUAAAGUUAUCAUGAAAAAGCAAAUCUUUUACGAUUUUACAAUUUUAAAGUUAAGCGUUUAUCACAAUUUUAAGGAAAUGUUGAAAAUAUUAUAUUAUAACUUUCAUUUCCACAUUAUGAGUAAUUAGCAAUGAGAAGACAGCAUGGCUUAUUGAUUGGCAUGGUGAACCAAACAACACGCACGAGUAUAAAAUAAAGAAAAACAAGAAAUUUUUAACAUGGUUCAAAGAUCAAUGUGAUCCCUAUGUUUAGGGAGUGCACAAAUAUUAAAAAAAAUUAGUGAAAGGAAUUUUUUAUUUUUUUUUUAAAUCUAGGUUAUGUUUAAUUUCCAAAAAAACUUGGAAACAAUGGAGGAAAGAAAAAAAAUACAAAUAAGAAAAAGUGAAUGAAAAUAAAAAAUAUAUUUAAAGUUAAUAAAUUAUUUUCAGGUUACUUAUUUCAACUUUUCAAUUGCCCAAAAGUCAUAAUUCUAAAGUUUAUAUUUUAAUGAUUUUAUUUGUGAAAGAUUUCAUUUAGAAAUUCUAUUAAGCUAAAUGGAAUAAAUGAGAUUUCUUUUCUUUUUUUUAAAUAGAAUGCGAAAGAAUUCACCAUAUUAUAGAGAAUAGAGAUUAUUUUACAAAUCAAUUAAAUUCUCAAAAUAAAUAAUUUUUCUUACAAAUUCAAGCUUUAAAAUAAAAAAUUGAAAAAAAAAACCUCUUAAAAGAAAUAGAUUUUAAUUUUACUUGUACUUCACACAAAUUUUCGAGAUAAUUUGGUAUGACCAAAAUUUUUAGAAAAAUCGCUUUUAACAUUAUUGAAAGAAAUAUCAAUUGAAAUGUAUUGUUAAUUUAAAAAUAAUUUAAAUAAAUAUUACAUAUGACCAAUAACCAAUUUCAAUUAAUAUUCAAAAUCAUGUAUUUUUUAAGGUUAUGGUAACGUUAUUUCUUAAAUGAUUCAAUGUUUAUUAUAAUAUUGGCUAAUCAAUUAUUAAUUUGAGAUAUAAAAAAAUGUUUCAUCCAAAAAAUUAAAUUAUUUAGAAAAAUAAAAAAUACAAUUUAAAGUUAAAAUUUUUAUAUAUUAAUAUAAAAAUAACAUUUAUUUAUAAACACUUAUUUAUCAUGGUAUAUAUAUAUAUAUAUAUAGAACAAAUUUUUGUUCUAAAAUAUACCAUAAUUUUUUUUUAACUAAUCUUUUCAGUUUUUUCUUAUAUACAUAUAUAUAAUGUUUGAAAAUUUGACAUUUUCUCAAGUUAAUUUUUUUUAUGGUUGUAAACAAAUAACUUUAUAUAUAAUGCUUUAUUUUCAACAACUCACUAUGUUAUAUGACUAUUUUUUUAAAUAGAUUUUAAAAAACAAAUAAAAUAUAUUACUAAAAAACAUCGUGUUUUUGAAACUAGUACUAAUAAUUUUUUUUUUUAAGUAAUGAAAUUCUCAAUCAUGUUUUCGAGUAGGGGAAAACUAUUUUUAAAAAUAAUUAUCCAAAUAGACUUUUUGAUACCUACUAAAAGAUUAUUUCAAAGCAUAAUAAACAAUUAUCAUUAGUUGCCAAUAUCUCAAUAUCAUGGGAAAUGAGACAAAUAAAAGUCAUGAGUUCAACUGAUUGAGAAUCAAGAAGAUGAAACCAAAUCAAUCUGAAAAAAGGCAAGCAAGAAAUAUCCCACAAGUCAAAGAGGCAAAAGGAGAUAAGAAAGAUGGUAUCUCCUCCGCCAAUAACAAAGGUACAUACUGUUAAUCCAAAUUGAACACUCAAACAGGAAUGAAGAAGCCAACACCAACUGAUGAAAACAAAUCCAAGGAGUUUGAUUAAGCAGAAAAAAGCAAGCAAGCAAGCAAAGGCCCAAGCAACGAAGAGCUAAACAGUAGCUUUGAUCGGUCUUCCAGGUCCAGCUCAAUUCUCAAUCCAAUCGCAGCAGCACCACCACAUUUCUCACCUACACCACCUGUUUUUUAUUUUUAUUUAUUUUCCAAGAAAAAAAAUAGAAAGAUUAAUAUCAUUAAAAAUUAUGGAAACCAACUAAAAAAUAAAAAUUAGAGAAAGAGAAUAUCCACUAUCUCCAUAAGAAUCAACAAAUGAAGCUAUUUGGUACCAGGCGUAAGGUCAUCUUGAAUGCAUAAAUAAUUAUCCUUGACAUGUACUAACCUUCAUUUGAAGUUGAUAUCCAAUAUAACAAUUUAUUCAAACAUAAUAUUGUGGAAGGCUCGAGGGAAAUUACGAAAGAACAAAAACAUAAAAAAAAAAAAAAAUGAAUAAAAAUAAAAAGUAGAUUUAAAAUUAAUAAAUUAUUUUUAUAUAUUACUUCAAACUUAUUUAAGCUUUUUUAGCUUUUUUAUGUAAUGAUUAAAUAAUUUAAAACUAUAUAAGUUUCUAAUUAAUUUUAAUUACGUUUAAUUGUUUUUCAUAUUUUUUAUAAUAAAACCAAAUAUGAAAAAAAUUAUUUUUCUUAAUAAUUUUUUCCUUUUUUUAAUAUUUUAUUGGAACCAACAUAACGUUAAGGUAUAUAUUCCAAAGAAAGUAUGAACUUUGAUUUAUACAUAUCACAAAAAAAUUAUCAGAGAAAUUCAAUUUGAAAAAAAAUAAUUAAAUCACUUGACACAAGCAUUGAACUUUGAACUAAAAGAAUAAAAGUAAGAGCAAAAGCUAGAUAAAUGAGGCUCAUAAAAUGACAAAUAAUCAAUAAGAAAAUAGACUAAAAUAGAUAUUCUCUCAUACCUAAUUAUUUGGUUGAUGAUGCAAUUUCUCGUCCAUCAAAAUAUAUUUCAGGUAUAUGAGCAAUUUUUUGCCAAUCCUCCCCGGUUUUAGGCUUGCAUCUUUUAAUCAAUUCAGGACAAUCAUCGAUCUCCAAUUUUUUAAGGGAUGCGAGCUUUUGUAGACCAUUCGCUGGCAAUGCUUUCAAGUUUGAGCACUGUGAAAUCUUUAAAUGGUGUAGAGUGUUAGAAGUUGGCUCAUGAAGAAGCCACCUCGGUAAAGCCUCCAAUUGUGGUAAAUUGUCAAAGAACAAAAUUUGUAGGCUCCCAAAGCUUUGAAUGUCUUCUUGCCCUUCUGCUUCCCCAUCCAUGGAUUCAAGUUUUUGACAAUUGCCAAUUGCCAAAACCUCUAAUGCAGUCAAGAGUUUUAUACCAUGUGACAAAGAAACCAAACUUGGACAAUCGGUAAUGACUAACAUUCGAAGUUCAAUAAGGCUUUCCAUUCCUUUAGACAAAAAUUCCAAAUUGAGACAAUCAACAAUCUCUAAUCGUUGAAGAGAAUUCAAGCUUCUCAACCCUUUUUCCUUUCCAAAUAAAUCCCUUUGUUUCAUUGUUAUAGAUACCAUCCUCAAACUGAUCAUACUCCCUAUGCCUCUUGGUAAUUCUUCAAGUUCUGAACAUCGUGAGAGUGACAAAGCUUGCAAAUGGUAUAACUUACAAAUGGAAUUAGGGAGUUUCUUGAUUCUCUUAUUUCCACUUAAGUCCAAAAAUCUUAGAUGCUUCAGACUACCAAUAGAUUUAGGCAAUGCUUCAAAGUUAGAGUCUUGUAAAUCCAAUAUCCGUAUACAUUUGAAUCUCAAGAUGCAUGCCUUAACAAAUGAUUCGCUUCUAGGGGCCACAUUUUUCAUUUGAAAAUAAAUGGUAUGAACAUUAUUCAACUUCUCCAAGAAUUUUAAAGCUUUACACUCUUCUUUGGGCCACUCGGUAUCAGAAAAUGCGGCGUGUUGAACCCUUUUAGGAAUAUCUUUACUAUGAAAAUUUAGUAUUAAACACUCAGGUUGUGCAAAAAACAUCGCAAGAUCAUGUACAAGAUCGUGCAUUUUGAAUGUAUAUAGUACUCCUAGUAUCAGCUGCUCAACAUCUUGAAAGAAAGAUCUCGAUAAUAGCUCAUUAAUAUAUCUCUCACCAAUAUCCUCCAUUUUGGCAUUUUGUCCCGAUGAAUGAAUGAGGCCUUCUGCCAUCCAAGUUGAGAUCAAAACAACAUUACUAAAUUCAUAAUCUUUGGGAAAUAGGGAACAAAGAGCAAAGCAUUGUUUCAAGUGAUAAGGCAAAUCAUAAUAGCUCAGUCUUAACGCAGCCAUAAUACCAUCUUCAUUUUGUUCUAAUUCCCAUAUUUCGCUAUCUCUAAUGGAUACCCAAUCCCAUUCAUCCCUUUUCGAAUACAGUAAACUCCCUAAACUUCUCACAGCCAGAGGAACCCCUGCACAUUUCUCAACAAUCUGGUCCCCGAUUUUUAAAAGGGUUGGAUAUCGUUUUUCUUCUCCAUCCAUGAAUGCGCAUUUCACAAAUAAAGACAAACAAUCCUCAUGAGAAAGACCCUUUAUUUCUUGCAUGGGAAAAGUGCCCAUGAUUGAAGCAAUUGACUUCUUGCGUGUAGUUACAAGAAUUUUGCUUCCUUUGGCACCGUCCAUGAGCAAGUCUUUCAGCUCAAGCCACUUCUCACGAUCUGUAUUCCACACGUCAUCCAAAACCAGCAAGAACUUUUCACCAUCUAAUGCAUUUCUAAGAGGACUCUGCAGCUGCUGCAAGGAGAAGUCACUGUAAUUUUCAUCACCUUUGAUCUCCUUAAGGAUUUCCUUUACCAGCUUUUUAACAUCAAACUCAUCUGACACGCAAACCCACAUUUUAAUUGAGAAAUGGCCCACUACCCUCUCAUCGUUAUACACAAGUUUAACCAGAGAUGUCUUGCCUAGCCCCCCAAUCCCAACUAUGGGAAUAACAGAAAUAUUCUCUGUAUCACUGGAUUGCUUCAAAAGCCCAACAAUAUUUUCUUUAUCGUCGUCUCUUCCGAUGACAUCGGAUGCUCGGACGAAGGAGUGGGUCUCCCUCUGCACUACACGGGUGUUUGCAAUUCCCUCGGAGAGAUUAAAUUUAGACUUAUCAGCUGCAAUUUUGUCUAAUCUCUCUCUUAUAUUCUUCACUCUAUGGCCCAUCUUAAGACGGAACGCAAGCGAAUUUGGACUGGAAAUGAAACUGCGUACCUUUGACCUAAUGCUUGAUCCGCUGGCCACCACCUGCUGCCGCAAAGCUUCAUAGUCAAAUUCAUCGAGCACAUCCUCUGCAUCAUAAAGGACGAGUUUGAGCUUUCCAAGCCAAUCGCUAAUCUGAAGAUUGGUUGCUUGCUUCUCCUCAGCGUCCAAGAGCAGGGCGUGGAUGGUGGAUAAAGUAUCCUUGAGCUCUCCCAGCUCGGUUUUAACACCCCAAGCAAGGCCAACUUCUUGGAUGAGGGUAGAGCCCAACUUCCCCAAAACACUCUCAGCUAUGGCAAAAGCAAACGAUUCAGCCAUGUUGCAGAGAAGCAGGGAAUAACAAUUGAAACCACAAGAUCAGAAAUGGCUGUGCGGAAAGGUGUUUAGGAGUAGAAUCUAAAGGAGAAUGAUCCAAGCAGAACCAUUGAUUGUAGAGGUGGUCAACUUUCGCAACCUAAUUAAAUUAAUGAGUAUUAAUAUAAAAAUAUAAUCACGAUGCAUUCCAGUUGUAUUCCAACUUAAAAAAAGUAAGAAUUCAUUUUUAAAAUAUUUGUUAACUUGCGGAAAAAGAGGACCCUCGAUUUCACUGAUACCAGUUUCAAUUUGUGUCUAUUUCCAUUCAACCCACAUGGAGGAGUCUUGCAUGAAUCUCCUUUCACUGUCAUACCUUCUCGGCAUUGUCCAAGGGAAGCAAUUGUUUAAUCUAAGAUGACAAAAUGGUUAGUAAAUGUUACAACUUGUGGGACGUUAAAUUUUAUUAUAAGAAAUCAAAUUAUUUUUUCUUUUUAAGACCUUUGGGAGUAUAUAAACUUUCAGAGUGGGUGAACUGCCCCCUCCAUCACAUAAGAUAUAGCCCAUUAUCUGUGGACUUGAAAAGGCUAAGCCUCAAGUCGAUCUCUAGAUAAAAUAAAAAUAUUACAUCUUUGAAGUGAAGACACAAAUUAUUUUAAAUUGUUUCCUUAUUAAAAGGACCAUACACUUGUGUGUGUGUAGACAAUAAAACACAACACAUUAAUUAGGAAAAAUUAUAGAAAAAGUUUAUUAUGAAGGGUUUAGAAUCAAGAGAAAAUUAUAUUUUUAAAUCCUUUUUUUUAAUAUUUAGGUUAUGUUUAGUUCCUAAAAAAUAUUAAGGAAAGAAAAAAAUUAUUAAAUAAAUUGUUUUCUUAUGUUUGGUUUUACUAUGAAAAAUACAAAAAAAUAAAAUUAAAUCAAAUAUUUUUAUUUAGUAAAAUACUUAUGUUUUCUUAUUUUAGAAUCACUUUCAAACACACUCUACAUUGAAUUUAAUAAAUAAAUAAAUAAAUAACGGUUUUAACAAAAAAUAUUUUUAUUUAGUAAAAUUCUUGAAGUGUUUUUAAAUAAUCAAGAGCCCAUUUUGAUAAUGAUUUUUUAUGAAACAUUUUUAACUUUAAAAGUAUUUUUUUAAAAAAGGUGAAUGACAAAUUUUGGAAAAUAUUUUUAAAAAUAUGAAAAAUCACUUAUGAUAUUUUUUUAGAAAAACGCUUGAUAGGUGAUUCUCUUAAAAACACUUCUAAAGAAAAUAUUUUCACUAAAAACAUUGUAAAAUAUACUCUAAAAAUUCAAUAAUAGUGUUUUUUUAGAAACGAUCAAUAGUUGAUUUUUCUAAAAACAUUUUCGGUGAAUGACACACUCUAAAAGACGUUUUCAAAGAAAAAUUAGAUGUUUGACAAAAGUUAAAAAAUUAAGAAAGCAUUUUAUAGUGAUUCUAGAAAGUGUUUCAAAAUUUUUUAAGUAUUAAAAAUAGUAGAAAUACUUCAUAAAAACACUGUCAAACGCCCUCAAAAUAUUAUUAUAAGUAUUUUUUUGGAGAAGUAUUUAAUAGAUGAUUGUGUAAAAAAUGCUGUUAAAAAAAGUACUUAGGAUUCAUGGUAGAGAUUUUUUUUUUUUUGAAAAUAUAGUCUAUAAUAAAAUAAAUAAUAUUUUAAAGAAAAUACUAAUAAUAUGAAAUCAAUUUUUAAGGAUAGUUUGUUAGAAUUUUAGGAAGGUAUUUAACAUUUAUGUAUACUAAAAAUGCAAAUCUCAAGAAAAUGUCUUAAUAUCAUGGGAUUCACUCCCCCGAUGAUGUCACCCUCUCACUGGCAUGGUAAAUUUUCUUUCGACUCGAGAUCAAGUUUUGAUACCAUUCUAUCACAACUCAACUCUUCAUCCAAUAUUAUCAAGAUUUUCAAUGGCAUACACAUGACUCACUGGUAAAUCUCAAUUUUACUUAUUUAUUGGGUCUACUCCCUCAAGAAAAUGUCUCGUUAAUAUAUUGUAAAAACCCUUUAUUUAUAGUUUUUCAUCAUUCAUUCCUGAAACGAUGUGAGACACUACAUAACAUUGAUUAUCUUUUUAAAACUUACUUAUAUAUAAUUUUUGACAAAAUAACUUGUUAUGAAAAUAGUUGAAAAAUAAUUUAGAACUGAUUUAGAGGUGAAAAAUCCCGACAAAUUACCAUGUGAAUGAAGAAAUUAAAAAAACAAAAAAAAAAAAAACCUCACACACAACCUAUGGUGUCUAGACCUUAAAGGUUGAAAUGUACAAUUGUAAAGUGUGGGACAUCCUAGGAAUGUCCGAUUGUGCAAUAUCGAACGAUUUUAAAAAUAUUACCCUUAGAAUUUUGAAUAAUAACCACAAGACAAAUGCUAUAAUAAAUAAAAAAAAAAAAAAAAAAGUGCAUAAAAAGCAUACAUAUUCAUUUGUAACAUCAUUGCAUAUAAUUAUUUGUUUAUUCAUUUGUAAGAAAAAACAAUCUUUAGGGUUAUGAAGAGAUUAAAAGAGAGGAAAUGGUGAUGAAGAAAGGUUUUGUUGGAAGGGUGAUAAUGUAAUUUCCCUUUAUUUUUAAAGAAAUAUAUAUAUAAAUUAUGAAAAAAUAAAAAUAAAGCAGGCAUUAUCUUCUCUCCAUACUACGAGUGAGGGCAGAGGAUUGAGCAAGCUCGACGACGACGGCAGCUAUGGCGAACGACGGCGACAUUCUGAUGCUGGAAGCACCGCCACAGGCCUCACGUCCGGCGGAAUUCAUCGACGCCUUGCCGUACAUUGACGAUGAUUAUGGCCACCCCAAGGUCAAAGAAGAGGUGGAUCGAUUGGUCGAAGAUGAGAUGCGCCGGAGCUCCAAAAAGCCCUCCGAUUUCCUCAAAGACCUCCCUCCGCUUCCCCCCUUCGGUUUCCACGUAAUUUUCCUUUUAUCCUCUCUAGAGUUUGCUUUAAUUUCGAGAAACAAGUGCGUACUUGGAUGCAAAGGAAAAACCGUAGGGUAAAGUUUGGGGUUAUGGGAGUUCUUGGUUAGGUUUGGUUGAAAAUUUAUGGGGGCUUGUUUAUGUGUGUUUAGGGAAAGGUUUUUGGUUCGAAUUUGGCAGUCUUGGGCUAGUUGGAUGCAUGCCGUGUUUUGUGUUUUUGUUUUCAAAGAACGGUUAGUUAUGCUGUUGAUUCCUGGAAGUUUUUAGUAUUAUGUUUGAAUCGAUUUUAGGGCCUUGUGAACUGUUCUCUGAUUCCGGAAGUCUUAAGAAUUGAAAAUGACAGAAAAUGUAUCCUGUAAUCUGGUUUAGAUAUCUUAGAAAUGUAAAAAUGUGGUUUUUUUUUUUUUUUUGGUGCAUUUUGUUCGAAAAUGGAAACUGUUUAGCUAUUGAAACCGCUCCAAAGAUUGACAUGAUCACUUUUUUCCUCUUAUUUGGAAAUAAAAAUGUUUUAAAACAUCAUUUUCCUUUUGGCUACCAAAGAGGCCAUUAGGUUUUGAGCUGAUUUAUGCCUUUUAUCACUUGUGUUGAUUUCGUCUUAGGGAAUUUGCAUCAUCAGAUGUGUUUUCGAGUAUAUUAUUUAUUUUAUUUUUUUAUUUUCUUUGGAAACCAGAAAACAUGUUCUCAAAAAUGCAUUUAGAGGAGCCAUUGGUAAACAAGAAAAUGUUUGGAAUCUACUUGAUGUUGUAGCACUGCUAAUUGUGGAAUCUGAAUCUCAGAAUCACCCCAUGCUUGCUAGAGAAUAUGAGCGUGUGAGAGCGGGGAAGCCUCCAGUGGCACUUGACAUGUCACGAUAUGGACUUGAAAUGCCUCCUAUGAAUAAACGGAAUGAUGAAACUGCUUGGAAACACGCACUUCAGAAAGCUCAGCGCCUACUGCAACAUCAAGUAAUUAGGUAAUAUGUGACUUUAUACCCCUUUCGUUGCUUGGGUGAUUUUGGAAUCUAGUGUAUUUCUUUUGUUAGAAAAUGUUUUCCAAGUAAGAAUGGUUGUGAUUGAUUUAUGAAGUUAAGUUAUGGUUUUUGAAUUUUUAAUAUGGAGAAAUCUGGGAGGCAAGAAUAUUAAAGAUAAAGACAAAUAACUUCUGUAAGAACUCUCUCAUGAUAUAUAUUACAUUGGUGUUGCUCCGUGUUUGUAUGCUUAAAUAAAAAGUGUUUGAUAUAGAUGUGUAUCCUAUUUUUUUGAUAAAUAAAGAAAAUGUAUUAAAAAUAAAAAAGGGUAUACACGAUGUAUACAAAACAACCACAAGACCCAAAAAUAGAAGAGGGUAGAUGUGUGCCGUAUGCCAACUCAUUAUUCAUAAAAUGGCUCUAAUUUGUGUGCCCAACCACUAAUUAUUAGAAUGAGGCUUUGUUAGUCAAGUAUCUACCACUAGUGGUCUUUUGAUUUCUUCUUUCUUUAUUGUCAACCUAUAAAUAAUGAAAUCUACUGUGACCUUAGAAGAAAGAGAAAUAAAUGAAAUCUACUGAGACACUGGCAUAAAGAAGAAAUUGCAAGAGAGGACAAGGAUUUCUUCACUACAAAAAGGCAAUAAAUUACUGGGAAAAAGUGCAGAGCUAAAAAGGUAAAUGCUGGCUCAAGCUUUCAAGGAGGGAAACACUGAAAAAAUCUCCUCUAAAGUUCACAACUGUUAGUACUCCUUUUUUGGCUGAAAAACUAACCCUUCUAGUUCUCAUUCUAUGUUGUCUAUGCUAUUAUUCUUCUAAUUAAUAAACCAACUCAUGGAACUUCUUCUUGGUUAAAGGUAUCACAAGUAAAAAUGUAAUUUCAGAUAUAGAAGUAGUUUGGCACAAAUUAUGAGUGAAUUUGCCCUCUAUAUUACAACCUCCUCCAGCAAGCUCCAUGUCCUGCCCCCUUGCCUGAACCCAAAGGACCACCAUAUUAGGAACAUCUCCUUUUUACAAUGGGAGGAGUUGUUACCUGUGCACAUUUACUGGCAUGCCACUCCCCCUAGUGGUUGUGAAUUGAAGGGGAUUUAUGAAACACAAGGAAAAGGAACUAGAUGAACUAUCCACGUUGCUUUUUUGCCUCGAUAAUUCUGGUAGAUCCGUUCAUAAAGACAUGUUAUUUUUAACGCGCAAGAACCAGUAAUGCCAUUCUCACACUCUUUCAU